UAUUGCACAAUGGGGGGAAACCCUGAUGCAGCCAUGCCGCGUGUGUGAAGAAGGCCUUCGGGUUGUAAAGCACUUUCAGUAGGGAGGAAGGUAGUGUAGUUAACACCUGCAUUAUUUGACGUUACCUACAGAAGAAGCACCGGCUAACUCCGUGCCAGCAGCCGCGGUAAUACGGAGGGUGCGAGCGUUAAUCGGAAUUACUGGGCGUAAAAGCGCAUGCAGGCGGCCUGUUAAGUCAGAUGUGAAAGCCCCGGGGCUUAACCUCGGAAUUGCAUUUGAAACUGGCAGGCUAGAGUCUUGUAGAGGGGGUAGAAUUUCAGGUGUAGCGGUGAAAUGCGUAGAGAUCUGAAGGAAUACCAGUGGCGAAGGCGGCCCCCUGGACAAAGACUGACGCUCAGAUGCGAAAGCGUGGGGAGCAAACAGGAUUAGAUACCCUGGUAG
rnacentral:rRNA from 1 species